rnacentral:rRNA from 1 species
AUGAACGCUAGCGGCAGGCUUAACACAUGCAAGUCGAGGGGUAUGCCGAUUUAUCGGCAGAGACCGGCGCACGGGUGCGUAACGCGUAUGCAAUCUACCUUCACAGAGGGAUAGCCCAGAGAAAUUUGGAUUAAUACCUCAUAGUAUAGCAGUUUCGCAUGAAACCACUAUUAAAGUCACAACGGUGAAAGAUGAGCAUGCGUCCCAUUAGCGAGUUGGUAAGGUAACGGCUUACCAAGGCAACGAUGGGUAGGGGUCCUGAGAGGGAGAUCCCCCACACUGGUACUGAGACACGGACCAGACUCCUACGGGAGGCAGCAGUGAGGAAUAUUGGACAAUGGGCGCAAGCCUGAUCCAGCCAUGCCGCGUGCAGGAUGACGGUCCUAUGGAUUGUAAACUGCUUUUGUACAGGAAGAAACACUACUUCGUGAAGUAGCUUGACGGUACUGUAAGAAUAAGCACCGGCUAACUACGUG